GGCACCGCGGGCGCCCUGCGUGCUUCCCUCCCCUUGCUCGGUUCCUCUGAAAUCGGUUUCCCAGGCUUUCGGUGAAGGGGAGAAUUGUCCUAUGUCAUUCCUCCUGACAGCCUGGCUCCCGCUGCACGAGAUGUGCCAGGGAUUACUGUUCGUGGGGACCCUCCAAGGGUGAGCCUAUGACAGCUCUGGCACCUGGCAGCCGUCACUCUCAUUCCUCCCAAGGUGGAGGGAAGACUGAAGUUUUGACACAAAAGUGGUCUCCCAGAAGAAUCCUUUGCAUUUGGUGACAUCUGGAUGAAGCAGGGAUCUCGGUGUGCAAAGAGGUGGAAGGAGCACCCUUAUGGCACAGUCCAUCUUUAUCGUUGUAACAAGGCCAGAGGAAAUCGGGUGCAUGACCAAGUUCUGCUGGCAGAACUACAACUGCAUUGACAUCCUCGGAUAUCACGCCACCUUUCCUCCUUGGACCAAAGAAACGAGCAGACCUUCCAGGGGACUCAGUGUUGGCGAAGCAGCCACACGGGAAGGCAGGGUUUCCACUCAUUCAGGGCCCUGGGUCUCCAUGCUCCCCUGCCCCGGCCAGCUCUGUACCACUCUGUUCCACAGCUUCCCUGUGAGCUCAGGUUUCCUUCAUUUCUCUUUCCCAUUAAGAGUUUGAUGUUAACAGCCCAUUCAAAGUGUUAUUUAACUUUAUGGAAUGAGAAAGAUCACGAGGCGAGUCCUCAGAAAGGAAAAAGAAAAUGAAGUACUGUGAAGUAUAACUUAACAAAGAAGGAGACAGUUUAGCAUGAGUCGCCCAGGAAGCCAGAGAAGCUGCAGCUGGCCUUCUUGCCUAGGCCACCCCAGAGGGCACACGUGACAGUACCGGGAAAGCAAGCCAGGGGUCUCAGGCCGGGUGUCAGAGGGUUUCCCCUGUGUCCUGACAUUCUACUCCCGCAUUGGAGAAGAACUUGAACGGUCUCAUUGAGGACCUGCUACGUGACAGAACCCCUCCAGUGCCAAAAAGAGAAUACAAAUACAAACACUGGGGAAAAAAUAUUUAAAAUCCCAGUUAGCAAAAUCCUCCGUCUUUGCCACAUGACUGAAGAGGGACUAUUUGGUUUAGGUAUAGAUCAUCCCCCCAAGAUGCAUGUGUUGAAGGCCACAUAGCAACAUCCAGACGCGGGCAGGGGACUUUGGGAAGUGAUUGAUCAUGAGGGUGCCGAUCUUACCGGUGAAUUAGUUCAUUUGAUGGAUUAACAGUUUUGAUCGACUACUAGGUAGAGGCUAUAGACAGGUGGCACGUGGUGGAAGGCAGUAGGCCAACGGGGGCAUGCCCUUGGGGACAAUAUCUCGUCUGUGGCUCAUUCUCUCCACCCCCUACUCAGCAACCAUGAGCUGAACAGCAUUCCGCCACCAGACCCUGUGCCCUCAAGUCCCGCCUCACCUCAGGCCCAGAACAAUGGAGCCAGCCAAGCAUGAACUGAGCCUCUGAAACCAAGAGGCCAAACCUUUCUUCUAAGUCAUCCAUCAGGUCUGUUAGUCACAGCCAUGAGGAGCUAACAGACUGCUGACCUUGUGACAGUUAGAAAGUAUGACAGACUACAGGACUUACAAACCAGGAGCAGGCUCUGGAAAGUGAGGACACACCCCUUGUCAGACUCUGGUCAGGAGAUGUUUGAUAAAAAGGAAUUCCAAUUUCAGAAUAUUCUUUCCCCUGGGAAAGACCACUAAACAGGUACUCUUUGAUCUUCACACCCAUGAAGACCUUUUUUUUCCCCACAGGAUUCCAUUUGAAUUAAGGGUUAAAAGAACAUAUUCUUAUCUCUAAAACAUAACAUUUCUCUGUUCAAUCAAUGUUUCCAACUUCCUCAUGCCACACAGUUAACAAUAAAUUCAGAAUGUGUGUUUAUCUACCUUGGUUUCCUAGACCAUAAACAUAAGGCCAAGGUCAAGACUAAAUAUAUGAGUUCCAUAAACAUCUAAUGUGCUGUAAGUAGUCCAUAAAACAUUUACACCAUCGAUAAAUUUCUUUGCACUAAUAACCAGGUUACCAAGAACAGCAUCAAUUCACUAUAGAAUUAGAGUGUAUUUAAUCUGUAGCAAUUGAAAAUUUUUCAUAGUGGAACAUACUAUUUACAGUAUAAAAAUAAACAAGCUCCAGCCCCAAGAAGAGAUUAAACUGGGCAAGAUUAUCAGAUGAGGUAAA